CAGCAGCCGCGGUAAAACGAAGGGUGCAAGCGUUAAUCGGAAUUACUGGGCGUAAAGCGUGCGUAGGCGGUGAGUUAAGUCUGCUGUGAAAUCCCCGGGCUCAACCUGGGAAUGGCAGUGGAUACUGGCUCGCUAGAGUGUGUCAGAGGAUGGUGGAAUUCCCGGUGUAGCGGUGAAAUGCGUAGAGAUCGGGAGGAACAUCAGUGGCGAAGGCGGCCAUCUGGGACAACACUGACGCUGAGGCACGAAAGCGUGGGAAGCAAACAGGAUUAGAUACCCGCGUAGUCCCUGUCUCUUAUAC
rnacentral:rRNA from 1 species